rnacentral:rRNA from 1 species
AAGACAGGUGGUGCAUGGUUGUCGUCAGCUCGUGUCGUGAGAUGUUGGGUUAAGUCCCGCAACGAGCGCAACCCUUAUCGUUAGUUGCUACCAUUAAGUUGAGCACGUCUAGCGAGACUGCCCGGGUUAACCGGGAGGAAGGUGGGGAUGACGUCAAAUCAUCAUGCCCCUUAUGUCUAGGGCUACACACGUGCUACAAUGGUGAGGACAAAGAGACGCAAGACCGCGAGGUGGAGCAAAUCUCACAAACCUCAUCCCAGUUCGGAUUGCAGGCUGAAACUCGCCUGCAUGAAGCCGGAGUUGCUAGUAAUCGCGAAUCAGCAUGUCGCGGUGAAUACGUUCCCGGGCCUU